UACGUAGGGUGCGAGCGUUGUCCGGAAUUACUGGGCGUAAAGAGCUCGUAGGUGGUUUGUCGCGUUGUUCGUGAAAUCUCACGGCUUAACUGUGAGCGUGCGGGCGAUACGGGCAGACUUGAGUACUGCAGGGGAGACUGGAAUUCCUGGUGUAGCGGUGGAAUGCGCAGAUAUCAGGAGGAACACCGGUGGCGAAGGCGGCAUCCUGGACCGACACUGACACUGAGGAGCGAAAGCCAGGGGAGCAAACGGG
rnacentral:rRNA from 1 species